CUACGGGGGGCAGCAGUGGGGAAUAUUGCACAAUGGAGGAAACUCUGAUGCAGCAACGCCGCGUGGAGGAUGACACAUUUCGGUGCGUAAACUCCUUUUAUAUGAGAAGAUAAUGACGGUAUCAUAUGAAUAAGCACCGGCUAACUCCGUGCCAGCAGCCGCGGUAAUACGGGGGGUGCAAGCGUUACUCGGAAUCACUGGGCGUAAAGCGAGCGCAGGCGGAUAGAUAAGUUGGAAGUGAAAUCCUAUGGCUUAACCAUAGAACUGCUUCCAAAACUGUCUAUCUAGAAUAUGGGAGAGGUAGAUGGAAUUUCUGGUGUAGGGGUAAAAUCCGUAGAGAUCAGAAGGAAUACCGAUUGCGAAGGCGAUCUACUGGAACAUUAUUGACGCUGAGGCUCGAAAGCGUGGGGAGCAAACAGGAUUAGAUACCCCUGUAGUC
rnacentral:rRNA from 1 species